UGCACACCAGCCUGGCCAACAGAGUGAGAACUUGUCUCAAAAAAAGAAAAGAAAAUGUAUCCAGGAGUUGGAUAAGGAAGUUGAGGACAGCAAGUCACAGUCACAGUCUGAGCCAAUUCUCAGUGGCCAGGGCUAUAGAAGGACACAGGCCAUAAGAAGAUAAGGAGGAACCUUGCACUGCUGGCCUCUGACAGCUAAAUAAUGGCUCCCAAAGAUGUGUCUACAUCCUAAUCUCCAGAAUCUGUGAAUGUUACUUUAUGUGGCAAGUACGUGGCAGAUGUAAUUAAGUCAAGGAUCUUUGGAUGGUUAUCCUGAAUUAUCUGGGUGGGCCCUAAAUACAAUCACAAGUGUCCUUAUAGGAGAGAGGCUGAAGGAGAUUUGGUACCAACAGAAGAGGAGGAGGAAAUUGUGAUCAUGCAGAAACUGGAGUGAUGGAGUCACAAGCCAAGGAAUGCCAGCAGCCACCAGAAGCCGAAAGAGGCCCUGCCAACACCUUGAUUUAGGCCUAAUGAAACUGAGUUUAGAUUUCUGGACCCCAGAACUGUGAAAGAAUAAAUUUCUGUUGUGUUAAGCCCCUA
rnacentral:lncRNA from 1 species